AUUGAACGCUGGCGGCAGGCCUAACACAUGCAAGUCGAGCGGAGCGGCGGACGGGUGAGUAAUGCCUAGGAAUCUGCCUGGCAGUGGGGGCUAACGUCCGGAAACGGGCGCUAAUACCGCAUACUAUCAGAUGAGCCUAGGCCGGAUUAGCUAGUUGGUGGGGUAAAGGCGUACCAAGGCGACGAACCGUAACUGGUCUGAGAGGAGGAUCAGCCACACUGGAACUGAGACACGGUCCAGACUCCUACGGUAGGCAGCAGUGGGGAAUAUUGGACAAUGGGCGAAAGCCUGAUCCAGCCAUGCCGCGUGUGUGAAGAAGGUCUUCGGAUUGUAAAGCACUUUAAGUUGGGAGGCGUUACCAACAGAAUAAGCACCGGCUAACUUCGUGCCAGCAGCCGCGGUAAUUC
rnacentral:rRNA from 1 species